CCACUCAGGUUGGAAUCCUCUUGCUGGUAGAGAGUUCCCGGCAGACAUGGCGCCCGAACAGGGACCUGAGAUCGGGGAUUUCGGUGACACUUAGAUCUGCUGAAAGCCCGUUGAGAAUCCAAG